rnacentral:rRNA from 1 species
UACGUAGGGUGCUAGCGUUGUCCGGAUUUAUUGGGCGUAAAGGGCUCGUAGGCGGCGUGUCGCGUCGGGGAGUGAAAGCCCGCUGCUUAACGGCGGGUUGGCUUCCGGUACGGGCAUCGCUGGAGUGCGGCAGGGGAGACUGGAAUUCCUGGUGUAGCGGUGGAAUGCGCAGAUAUCAGGAGGAACACCGAUGGCGAAGGCAGGUCUCUGGGCAUUAACUGACGCUGAGGAGCGAAAGCAUGGGGAGCGAACAGG